GAAGAAUAUGGAACAUCAAGACGCGCCAGCAAAAUCUUGAUGUAUUAAAAUGGUUCAUAUGUUAACUACUUAUUAUACGCAUACAAUUUUUGCGUGAUUCCGUAACAAAGGGCCAAUUUCUGUUCAAAACAAAGGUUCUGUAACAAAACACAUGCAUGAAGUGGUUUCAAAUUAGGGACAAAGAUUCAUUUAGAUGAUGUGCAAGAACAACGAUUUACUCAAAUGUUGGAGAGGUUCAUUCAUCUUCAGAAGUGGAAAUUUAAAAUCAUCGUGAUUGUCCUUAGAAAAAUUGGUCAAAUUGGGUGAAUUUUUAAUAAGAAUUAAAACUGAUUUCGUAUGAAGGAACUGCAUUUGCUGUUAUACUUAAAAAUUAUUCAGUUGACAACACAUCAUUGUCAAAUGUAUAUUUAUAGACCCGUUCUAUACAGGUAGAUUCAUUAGCACUUGUAAACAUUGAUAUUCCAAAAAUAUUAUAACAUUCUGGCCAAAUAAAAAAAUAAUAGUUACGAUAUAUGGCUUUCAACAACUUUAAAUAUUUUUUCAUUCAAAAAUUGAAUUCCAGAAAUGUUUUGACAGUUCAUUGUACCACCA